CCAACAUGAAGCAAUUCCGAAUUGUAAGCAUUUUUAUAAACAUAAUUAUUUUAAUAAAAAUCGUGGAAAACGUGCCCGUACACAAAUGGUAUAAAGAGGACGAUUUUGCACCAUUUUUCAUAGAGACUGAAAUGAAAUACAACUGGUUUGAAGCCUGGAAUGAAUGCUCAGGCAAAAAUAUGUCCCUGGUAGCCGUUAAUACACCAGAAAAAAAUGCCGCUUUAGUAAAAAUAUUGAGAACAAAAUUUGAUAAACGUUACAAUAUCUGGAUUGGUGG